UGGGGAAUAUUGGACAAUGGGCGAAAGCCUGAUCCAGCCAUGCCGCGUGUGUGAAGAAGGCCUUUUGGUUGUAAAGCACUUUAAGCGAGGAGGAGGCUACUUGGAUUAAUACUAUAGGACAGUGGACGUUACUCGCAGAAUAAGCACCGGCUAACUCUGUGCCAGCAGACGCGGUAAUACAGAGGGUGCGAGCGUUAAUCGGAUUUACUGGGCGUAAAGCGUGCGUAGGCGGCUUUUUAAGUCGGAUGUGAAAUCCCUGAGCUUAACUUAGGAAUUGCAUUCGAUACGUGGAAGCUAGAGUAUGGGAGAGGAUGGUAGAAUUCCAGGUGUAGAGGUGAAAUUCGUAGAGAUCUGGAGGAAUACCGAUGGCGAAGGCAGCCAUCUGGCCUAAUACUGACGCUGAGGUACGAAAGCAUGGGGAGCAAACAGG
rnacentral:rRNA from 1 species